CAUGACUGUAAAAGCUGGAUUAAAUGGGCUUGUCUAUAUUGGGUGCCUAGUUACCAGGCUGCUUCCAAAGUGGAUACUGUGGCCAUCAGUGACUCCUUCCUUGACCUCAGCAAUAGGGACUACGUGUCCAGAAAUGAUUCUACCCAUGGCAAGUUCAACGGCAUCAUCAAGGCUGAGAACAGUAAGUGCAGUCAAUUGAAAUCCUACCUUCAUUUUCCAAGUUCAAGAUCCCCCCAACAUCAAAUGGGGUAACAUGAUGUUGAAUACAUCAUAGAGCCCACCGCACUCUUUACCGUCUUAGACAAGGCUAGCAAUCACUUGAAAGGUGGAAGCAAAGGGUUAUUAUUCCUAUCACCUGCGCCAAUGCUGCUGUGCUCAGAAUGGGAGAGAACUGUGAAGAUGACAACUCCUUCGAAAUUGUCAGCAAUGUCACCUGCAUACCAAGUGCUUGACUCUCCUGGCAGAAGUCAUCGAUGAUGACUGUGCUAACGUGGAGGAAUCUCAGACCACAGUCCACGCCAUCACUGCUCCCCACAGAUCAUGAUUACUCCUCCAGCAAGCUGUAGUGUCAUGUCAGUGGUCAUUAUCUCUCAAUCCCUGGCCCUGCCAAAACUGUGUGCAAGACAACCCCUGAGUUGAACGGAGAGUUCACUGAUUUGGCUUUCCAAGUCCCCACCGCUGGUGUGGAAAGUGUGUUGAGAAUGAGAUUUGCCAUCUGGAGAAAGGUGCCAAAUAUAAUGACAUCAAGGAGGCAAUGAAGCAAGCAUCAAGGGCCCCUGGAAGAGCAUCCCGGGCUACAUUCAGGACCAGUUGGUUGCCUUUGUGACAACCACUAUCCCAUUUUUGAUCUGGGGAGGGUAUUGCUCUCAAUGAUCACUUAAUCAAGCUGUUUUUUUGGUAUGACCAUAAAUCUGGCCAUAGGAAUUGACUGGGGGGAUCUAUCUUAUGGUCUGUGUGACCU
rnacentral:lncRNA from 1 species